GAGCUCAUUGAUCAUCAUAACAGAGUCUAUUGAAAGUCCUCAGCAGGCGGUGUGACGAUGUGACCAGCUCUGGCCAAGGAGCUGUAGGCAGAAGUGUCUUGCAGCAGCUCCUGUAAAUCUUAAAAGACAGCUGGUGCGUGUCUUUUUUCCUUUUUUUUUCCCUUCCCCCUUCCUGCUGCGCUGAAUAUGGAUAUGGUGAGUGAAUCUAGAGCAGCCAUUUGGAGGUAUGAAGAGAUCUUGGAAAUAGAGGCCAUGUGUGUUGAAACAAGACCGAACAACUCCAAGUUCCUGAAGACUUCAUUUCACCAACCCAGAACCUCCUUGAUCAUCACAGUGGUCGAACCAUUUUACAUUUUCACCAGCAAUGAAGGAGGGUUCCUGUUGCUCUACCAUUUGGUACUGUCAGCGUUUUGGAUAUUAGCCGUCCUAAUAGCCUUUGCAUGGAUGAUUGUCUGUCCUCUGUUGGGCCCCUUCUGAAGAGUUGGAGUUGGACUCUGAAUACCUCAAGAGUGGGAGAUUGGUCUUGCCAAUCAGAGAAGCUCCAGGGCUAGCCUAGUGCCUGGCACAUGCUUUAUACAAUUAUUCCCAAAUCUUCUAAACUGACAGUGAGGGAGAGUAAUUUGAAAGGACUGCUCAACUCAACGUCAUUUGAAGAUUUGCACCACAGCUGCAUUUUUCCAAUUUCCUGGCAUCUAUUCUGCUCUCCUGGACUUUUCAAAAACAAUUUCUUUCAGAUCCCUGGAGGCCUCUCCCAGGGCCUGUGGUGUGGAGAGUUGGACUUGACCCUACUGUAAGAGACCCAACUUCCAAAGACUGCAUCAGAUGAAAGGCUCUCCAUAUAGACUACAGACUUGUCAGCUGGUUAAGGAGGCAAACAGAACAGUCUGCUACAAACUCCAGUCCAUGUAUCUGUGCUGAAAAUAAAAGGAGUCUUCAGGAAUCAAAGAAGAAAAUAUUUUUAUAAAGAAAUUUUAUUGCAUAAUUCUUGUAUACAAUAAACAUAGGAAAAGGGUUUUUAAUGAAAAUUCAUGUCAUUUUUCA
rnacentral:lncRNA from 1 species